ACAAAAACAAGUGCUAGCGCUAAGACUAAAAAAAAGCAAGAGAUGCAAGGUACAGGCGUAAUAAAAGGGAAAGGAUAAUAGACAUUGGUAUUCAGUGUGAUCGAUGGAGAAGAGUUAAAGAAGCUACUGGGAUUGAAAAGGACGAGAAAAUGAUGGAAAUAUUGAUCGAUGCAACUACUUCUGAACUAGAGAGCUUCAACAAUCAUCUUUUGAUACGCUCCAAACCAAAGCGAAAUGCUUUCAGCUGUGCAGGUGUCAGUUAGCAGCAAUAGAUUAUUCAAAACACUUGAAUCGUCCUGUUUUGUUUGACAAAGAAG